GUGGAGGGCCGUGGAGGACCACCAGUUGUAGAGGUGGAGUUCGGUGGAGCCGCUGGAGGAGGAGGAGAUGUGAGUGGCGGCGAUAAAAGUGUUGCCAAGCAAGGUUAGGCCGUGGCGAGGUGAGCGGCUACCGGUGAAACGUGCGACGACGGCGCCUGAUGAGGAGUCGUAGGCGGUGAUAGGUCCGUCCGGGGAGCUGGUGAGUAUGAUGUCAGAUGAAGAAGGUGACAUUGCUUGCUUGGCUGCAGAGUAGUGCGGGAUGGCCGGAUGGAAUUAGCAGUACUGCACUCUGCAUGCACUGUGCACAAGUUAAAAGUGAAGAAGUAACGGUAGACCAAAAAUGAGGGAAAAAGUUACUGGCAUCAGAAGACACUUUCUUCUGUUUGGAGGUCACAAUUUUUACAU
rnacentral:lncRNA from 1 species